rnacentral:lncRNA from 1 species
CUUAAAAGGGUUAUUUGAGAUUAUUUCAGACGUUGACCAAGAAAAGCCUAAGAGAUAAUGGUGAAAAAAAGAAGAGAGGCAGAAGCUUGAUGAAGAUGGUCAUGGGGCAAGGGAUCAGACAGAAUAUAAAGUUUCUGGGUCUUUUGCAAGAACAAAAGGAGAUGAGGUAAAGCUAUAUGCAAUAAAUGGGCAUAGGUAGAUUCACAUGUGAAAUUCUUGUUGUGGAUUGCUUUGCUGCCUUUCAACACAAAGCUUCAGAUAUUGAACUAGUAUCUUUGUAAUUGCUUUGCUUAUGGUGGUGAAAUUUUGGUUACUUGCCACAGGGUUUUCCACUUAUAAAUCUUUGGUGUGCUUCGACUUUUCUGCUGAUUUGUUGUUUUGGGGUCAACUGAUUUGGUUGGAUCUGUCAGUAAUCUGUAAAUCUUGUGCUGAUUUAUUUUCUGGGUAUCAUUGUGUUGGAAUUUCAGUUUUGAGGUGGUUCAAUAGAACCCAACAAGAUACUGCUCCCAAAUGCAGUUUUCUCAAUAUCAGAGGAAAAUGUUAAAUCUGCAAAGAAAUUAUGGUGUGUUGAAUCUCUUGGCCAACUAUCUUCAAUAUCCUUGAUGGGAAAUCCAAUGGUUUCACUGUUAAAACUUUGAAUUCUCAUGUUUAGAAGCUAUAUACAUAUAACUCUAUCAUGAAAUUUGUUUCUUGAAUUGGCCUCCCAUUAAAGUUUAUUGAAAAUUUCUUAACCCGGUCUAAAUUUGGUGCUAUAUGCACUUGGAGGGUUCAUGGCAAGAACUAUUCAUGCUACAUUUGACUGGAAUUUGAGUACGAGAAUCACAUCUAAUACAAUUCUGUUUAGUGUUAUUCUUAUGUCGAUGUGCAUUAAUGUUAUUCUUUUUCAUGUAUUUGGAUUCUAUAUGUAUAUAUUAGGGAAAGAAAUAAUUAGAGUUAAAUAGAAAUGUACUUUCAAAUGCUCCUGGUUUUGUUCAUGAUUGUGUUUUUGCAAAAAUUGGAGGCUGGAAAUAGAAACUGUUAUCCUCGAGAGGAGAAGGUGUCGGUGAAACUUGUGGUAACUAUAGUGUCUGAAAAUGCUUCGAGC